UUUUCAGUGUGUAAACACGGGUCCACAAAUGCCAGGUUAUCCAUUAUUAGGUAGGUCUUCCAGUCCAGGAUUAUGGAACACUAAAUUUUAGAUUGCCCCCUAUAAAAGCUCAUUUCCUCUUUUUUUUUAUUUAAACCAUCUCAAGCCAAGCUGCCCCCCACUCCUCCACCAACAACCCGCGGCCAGCAUCCCCGGGGAAAGGCUGUUGACCACGGCCCAAGGUUAAGACAAGCUGAACAAAGCAGCCAAUCAGCGGAGGAGGGCUCCGGGGUGCUGAUGCUCGGAGACAAAUAGUACGGUGCCGAGCGGAUCGAUGACUACUUGAUUGCGCAUGAAUACAACAUACAUGUUGCCAAUGCUUUGCCAGCGCUCCCAGCGGGCGCCCAUGCAGAUCAGAGAGCGUAGGAAGAACUGAUAAGGGAUCCCCCGUGUGCAAACCUACGCUCUCUCCUCCCCAGCCGGAAAGCAUCCUACAGGAGGACCAGGACCGCAGCAUCCCUGUGCUGGAAUGUUCUCAUUCAAAGAUUUCCUAUAAUUAUCCAUGA
rnacentral:lncRNA from 1 species